rnacentral:tRNA from 1 species
GGAGAGAUGGCCGAGCUGGCUGAAGGCGCUCCCCUGCUAAGGGAGUAUGGGGCGAAAGCUGCAUCGAGGGUUCGAAUCCCUCUCUCUCCA